rnacentral:rRNA from 1 species
AUUGAACGCUGGCGGCAGGCCUAACACAUGCAAGUCGAACGAGUGGCGGACGGGUGAGUAAGGUCUGGGAAACUGCUUGAUGGAGGGGGAUAACUACUGGAAACGGUAGCUAAUACCGCAUAACAUCCGAUGUGCCAAGAUGGGAUUAGCCAGUAGGUGGGGUAACGGCUCACAUAGGCGACGAUCCCUAGCUGGUCUGAGAGGAUUACCAGCAACACUGGAACUGAGACACGGUCCAGACUCCUACGGGAGGCAGCAGUGGGGAAUAUUGCACAAUGGGCGCAAGCCUGAUGCAGCCAUGCCGCGUGUAUGAAGAAGGCCUUCGGGUUGUAAAGUACUUUCAGCGGGGAGGCGUUACCCGCAGAAGAAGCACCGGCUAACUCCGUGCCAGCAGCCGCGGUAAUUC